rnacentral:rRNA from 1 species
AUUGAACGCUGGCGGCAGGCCUAACACAUGCAAGUCGAGCGGAGCGGCGGACGGGUGAGUAAUGCCUAGGAAUCUGCAUGGUAGUGGGGGCAAACGUCCGGAAACGGGCGCUAAUACCGCAUACUAUCAGAUGAGCCUAGGUCGGAUUAGCUAGUGGGUGGGGUAAAGGCGUACCAAGGCGACGAUACGUAACUGGUCUGAGAGGAUGUUCAGUGACCUUGCAAUGGAGAAACGGUCCAACCUCCAAUGGUAAGGAGAAGUGGGGACUAUUGGAUAGUUGGCGCAGACCUGUACCAGCAAUGCAGCGUUGGUGAAGAAGGUCUUCGGUUUGUAAAGCACUUUAAGUUGGGAUGCGUUACCAACAGAAUAAGAACCGACUAACUUCGUGCCAGCAGCCGCGGUAAUUC